rnacentral:rRNA from 1 species
GACGAACGCUGGCGGCGUGCUUAACACAUGCAAGUCGAACGGUGAAGCGCCUUCCUUUUUGGUGGGUGUGGAUGAGUGGCGAACGGGUGAGUAACACGUGAGUAACCUGCCCCCUUCUUCUGGAUAACCGCAUGAAAGUGUGGCUAAUACGGGAUAUUCUGGGUCUGUCGCAUGAUGGGUCUGGGAAAGAUAUUGUUUCGGUGGGGGAUGGGCUCGCGGCCUAUCAGCUUGUUGGUGGGGUGAUGGCCUACCAAGGCGGUGACGGGUAGCCGGCCUGAGAGGGUGGACGGUCACACUGGGACUGAGACACGGCCCAGACUCCUACGAGAGGCAGCAGUGGGGAAUAUUGCACAAUGGGCGCAAGCCUGAUGCAGCGACGCCGCGUGAGGGAUGGAGGCCUUCGGGUUGUGAACCUCUUUCGCCAGUGAAGCAGGCCUGCCUCGUUUGUGGGUGGGUUGACGGUAGCUGGAGAAGAAGCGCCGGCUAACUACGUG